UUCAUUUCCUGCAGGGUGGAGAAAGAAAUGGAAAAUUGGUAUGGCUGAUAUUACGAAUGCAUUCUGAGUUUUCAUUAAGGCAUUAUCUUUAAUUACUUGGGAAAUUCAAAAGGUACUGUUAACAAUUACUUGUACAUUAUUACCAGGGUAAGAAUAUUUGCAAAAUAUUAUUUCUUUCAGAAACUUAUACUGCCUUAUCUACUGCAUACUGCAAAGACGUGGCCAGCAACAUUUCUGCCAAUGCAAGACUUUGGGAAAAAUGUCUGCAGAAUGGCGUAUAGCAAACAUUUAUUUAAGAUCUGCAUGAAUCUCCCAUGA
rnacentral:lncRNA from 1 species